rnacentral:ncRNA from 1 species
CAGGUUCCGGUUCACGUCCGAGCAUCGGCGCGAUGCGGGCGACCCGGCGGCC